AACGCGAAGAACCUUACCUGGGUUUGACAUACUUGUGACAGUUGUAGAAAUACAAUCUUCUAAGUUUACUUAGACACAAGAACAGGUGCUGCAUGGCUGUCGUCAGCUCGUGUCGUGAGAUGUUGGGUUAAGUCCUUUAACGAGCGCAACCCUUGCUGUUAGUUGCUACUUGCGUGAGCAAGGCACUCUAGCGGGACUGCCUGGGAAACCAGGAGGAAGGUGGGGAUGACGUCAAGUCAGCAUGGUCCUUAUGUCCAGGGCUACACACGUGUUACAAUGGCCGGUACAACGGGGCGCAAUUUCGUAAGAAGGAGCAAAGCCUUAUAAGCCGGUCUAAGUUCGGAUUGAGGUCUGCAACUCGACCUCAUGAAGUUGAAAUCGCUAGUAAUCGCGUAUCAGAACGGCGCGGUGAAUGCGUUCCCGGGCCUUGUACACACCGCUCGCGA
rnacentral:rRNA from 1 species